UGAAGUGACGAUAUAAACGCUGUGCACCAGUCCGAGUGAACUAUUUUUGUACUCUUCACGUUGAAGACCCAGUAUACCCAAAUUUCUGAUC
rnacentral:snoRNA from 1 species